UCCGCCUUCAGAAGGUCAUGACUGCGUCGCUCCUCUAUUAACCCUUUAGCCAAACUUUCACCAGCGUUUCACUGAGGGGUAGUUUGCGUAAAGAGCUCAGCGGGUUCCAGGAGGCGUUUGCUAAAUGGCUGCUCUGUGAGGUGGGAGCUUGGAAAUCUCAGCUCAGAGGAGAAGAGAUGAAAGGAUUUCCCAAACACGCAUAAAAGAAUCACAGCGACACUCCAGUGCACGUCUGUUGGGAGCAAAGUUGUGCUACCAUGCAUCAGGAUGGGAUGUGUAAAGUGUAUAUUCAAGCAUCUGCUCAUCCCUUGGGGAAUAGAUUUCAAUGUUCUGAGUGUGAAUUUAGUAGUCUGAUCAUUUUUAGUCAGAUUAAUCAGAAAGUUGGUCAUACCUCCAGUCUCACUUUCAGUUUCAAUAAUCUGGCAUCUUUAUUUCUGUGCAUAGGGCAGAACAUUGACUAAGAUCAAGUAAUGUUAUUAUUUGUGUUAUUAUUGCUGCCAUAUUCAAUAAAUUAUCCUUUGAAAAUCGACAACCUUUAAUUAGAUAUUAAGCAAACUUUUCAUUAAGGCUGCAUUUCUGUAUUUAUUUAUUUUUUUGGUGUGAUGUAAUAUUGUAUAUUUAAAUGUCAUGUUUUUAUUAUCUGUCAGAGGAAAAUGUGACAGAUAAUCAUUCAAAGAAAUAAAGUCCUUCAAACAUC